UUAGCCAUCAAUAUUUGCCCUA
rnacentral:siRNA from 1 species